rnacentral:rRNA from 1 species
GACAGAGGGUGCAAACGUUUGUUCGGAAUUACUGGGCGUAAAGCGUGUGUAGGCGGUGGGCUAAGUCGGAUGUGAAAGCCCAGGGCUCAACCCUGGAAGUGCACUCGAUACUGGCUCGCUAGAGUACUGGAGAGGUUGGUGGAAUUCUCGGUGUAGAGGUGAAAUUCGUAGAUAUCGAGAGGAACACCGGUGGCGAAGGCGGCCAACUGGACAGAUACUGACGCUGAGACACGAAAGCGUGGGGAGCAAACAGG